rnacentral:rRNA from 1 species
CACGUAAGUUGCGAGCGUUGUUCGGAAUUAUUGGGCGUAAAGGGCAUGUAGGCGGAUUUGCAAGCUUGAUGUGAAAUCCCGCAGCUUAACUGCGGAACUGCAUUGAGAACUGCAAGACUAGAGUUACUGAGGGGAAACUAGAAUUCCAAGUGUAGGGGUGAAAUCUGUAGAUAUUUGGAAGAAUACCAAUGGCGAAGGCAAGUUUCUGGCAGAUAACUGACGCUGAGGUGCGAAGGUGCGGGGAGCAAACAGGAUUAGAUACCCUGGUAGUCCGCACAGUAAACGAUGUACACUAGGUGUUUGACCAUGAGGUUGAGUGCCAUAGCUAACGCAAUAAGUGUACCGCCUGGGAAGUAUGCCCGCAAGGGUGAAACUCAAAGGAAUUGACGGGGGCCCGCACAAGCGGUGGAGCAUGUGGUUUAAUUCGAUGGUACGCGAGGAACCUUACCUGGGUUUGACAUAUACUGGAAUGUUAUAGAGAUAUAGCAGCGUAGCAAUACGCCGGUAUACAGGUGCUGCAUGGCU